AUACUGGCUGAAGGACAGUUCAGCAUAUGGAGUCUAUUCCGAGAAUUUAUACAGCAGACUUCUCUGGAGGGAGAGAAAUCAAAACACAUGUUUUUCAAAAGUGCUGGAAUGGCCUGAUUAGCAGAAAUUACAAAUGGUCUGGAAGAGUUAAAAAGCACAGUAAUUUGAACAGCCAGACAUCAUCCAAAACCCUUCAGGAAUUGUUCUUCUCCCCAGAGAUUUCAUGUUCCCGGCAAUCUCUGUACAAAGCUGUCAGCUUUAAGUGGGCUGAGAGACAAUAUUGGCAUUGGCAUGUUCCCAGUACAAAAAUAAGUGGAGAAACUGACAUACAAGUGAAGUCCCAUUUAAAGCAUCAUAUGGAGCAUCACCUUGCUCGAAGGCUGAAGCAGCCUGUUGGAUGUCAGGCAACACUUCAGGAUGAAAGUCAAGCUGCCUUGGGAAAUACAGAGGCUUUUACUCUGAGGUCCAAAGAAAAAACUACAGAUCAGGCCAGAAGUCACCAUGCAAAUUCCAGUGCAUUUUCAGAUGGAUCUCAACAGAAGAAUAAAACCUGUUUAUCAGAAGAGGAGUUAUUCUUCAAAAGGCACACAACAGCAAUGCAGAGAGGGGUAAAUUUAAAUAACUGGGUCCUGCCAACAGAGAGAACAGAUGAAAUACCUCACUUGAAGAGCCUGGAGAUUAGUGAUGACAAGGGAAAUAGGGUGAUGACAAACUCAUUGAAAAGUGCUUUGUCAGAAACUGUUGCUUUAGCUGAAAAUGAGCAUUCCAGUCAGGAUAAUGGAGCAGACAGACCUCUCUACAGUGAGUCCUCAUCACAAAGUACAGCUCAGCUUGAGCUCCAGUCUGCAAGCAGGGCUGAAAACACAGUCUUCUACUCCUUUGUUACUAGGGUGACCAGAUGUUAA
rnacentral:lncRNA from 1 species